rnacentral:rRNA from 1 species
UAAUACGAAGGGUCCAAGCGUUGUUCGGAAUCAUUGGGCGUAAAGCGCGCGCAGGCGGAUCAGUAAGUCAGGUGUGAAAUCUCGAAGCUCAACUUCGAAAUUGCGCCUGAAACUACUAGUCUAGAGUGUCGGAGGGGGCAGGGGAAUUUCACGUGUAGGGGUAAAAUCCGUAGAGAUGUGAAGGAACACCGGAGGCGAAGGCGCCUGCCUGGACGACUACUGACGCUGAGGCGCGAAAGCGUGGGGAGCAAACAGG